UACAGAGGUCUCAAGCGUUGUUCGGAUUCAUUGGGCGUAAAGGGUGCGUAGGCGGUUCGGCAAGUCGGGUGUGAAAACUUCAGGCUCAACCUGGAGACGCCACCCGAUACUGCUGUGACUUGAGUCCGGUAGGGGACCACGGAAUUCCUGGUGUAGCGGUGGAAAUGCGCAGAUAUCAGGAAGAACACCCGUGGCUAAGGCGGCUCUCUAGUACGGUACUGACGCUGAGACGCGAAAGCGUGGGGAGCGAACAGG
rnacentral:rRNA from 1 species